rnacentral:sRNA from 1 species
CUGCACCCAGGCGUAGCAUCGAUCGCACGACGGGUUCGGGAGUGACUGAAUCAAAGAGUCGGCAAGGGAUGAAAG